GGACUACCCGGGUUUCUAAUCCUGUUUGAUCCCCACGCUUUCGUGCCUCAGCGUCAAUGACUGUUUAGCUAGCUGCCUUCGCAAUCGGUGUUCUAUGUCAUAUCUAUGCAUUUCACCGCUACAUGACAUAUUCCGCCAACCUCAACAGUAUUCAAGACCUAUAGUAUCAAUGGCAGUUUCCGGGUUGAGCCCGGAGAUUUCACCACUGACUUACAGGCCCGCCUACACACCCUUUAAACCCAGUGAAUCCGGAUAACGCUUGCACCCUCCGUAUUACCGCGGCUGCUGGCAC
rnacentral:rRNA from 1 species